GGCCUUGUGGCGCAACGGUAGCGCGUUCGACUCCAGAUCGAAAGGUUAUCCGUAAGUGUUCUCCACAACGACA